rnacentral:rRNA from 1 species
CCAGACUCCUACGGGAGGCAGCAGUGGGGAAUAUUGCACAAUGGGGGAAACCCUGAUGCAGCGACGCCGCGUGAGCGAUGAAGUAUUUCGGUAUGUAAAGCUCUAUCAGCAGGGAAGAAAAUGACGGUACCUGACUAAGAAGCCCCGGCUAACUACGUGCCAGCAGCCGCGGUAAUACGUAGGGGGCAAGCGUUAUCCGGAUUUACUGGGUGUAAAGGGAGCGUAGACGGCAAUGCAAGCCAGAUGUGAAAGCCCGGGGCUCAACCCCGGGACUGCAUUUGGAACUGUGUAGCUGGAGUGUAGGAGGGGCAGGCGGAAUUCCUGGUGUAGCGGUGAAAUGCGUAGAUAUCAGGAGGAACACCGGUGGCGAAGGCGGCCUGCUGGACUGCAACUGACGUUGAGGCCCGAAAGCGUGGGGAGCAAACAGGAUUAGAUACCCCUGUAAC